rnacentral:lncRNA from 1 species
CAGGGGGCGGUGUGCGCCCCCGGCGCUGGAGCAGCCGCGUUUCGGGGACCCGGGCAGGCGUGGGGGGCUGCGCUGAGCUCCAGGCCUCCUGCAGGUGCAAUAAGAAUCGUAUUACUAAUGUGGUGUCCUCUGGAAUGGUCACAUGAACACAGUUCCCUGCAGAUGUAAUUGGGAGAGAAGGCACAGUCCUGACACAGGGUAAGACUGUGGAGGUGUAUUGCUGUCCCUACCAGCCUGGAGUGCAGUAGUGUAAUCUCGGCUCACUGCAGCCUCAAACUUCUGGGCUCGAGCGAUCCUCUCACCUCAGCCUCCUGAGUAGCUGGGACUACAGCUGUGCCUUAACUUCCUCGAAAGACAACAUCAGUGCUGGCGGGCCUCAAGAAGAGCCAUCCCAAGGUAUUGACUAGGCAUCAGCGUCUUCACCAGGGCAACACAGAACAUCCCUGCAGAGUUCCUGGUGGCUGCAGUGGCUGGUAGGGGAUGUAUGCCUGCUUUCCAUCAGAUUCCCAAAGCGGAGCCCCUGGAGGCUUUGGCCCAUGGCCCUGAAGCUCCCUUUCACAAGGAAGAAAGACUUUGCAAAGCCAACACCACUAUUGGAGAGAAAGUGGAGAAUGUGUAUUAGAAGUACUAGUCUUUGAAGGCAAAACAGCUGUAUAGAGUGAGCUUAAGUGCUGGAUCCCUGUGGUUAGGAAGGGACACUAAGCCUCCGGGAUGUGAGAGUCCCAUGGAAGGCAGUAGGCCCAGGAUAAAGCAGGUGUCAGCUCAGAAAGCCCACCAUCACCCAGAAAAGGGAAGAAAUACGCUACCACCAUCACUCUUUCUGCCAAUGACUUCUUUGCACACCUCCACCCUAUCUCCUGGCUCAGUCUCCCAUGUUCUCAUAGCUAGGGAGGUCUCCAUUGUAAUUUGUAUGGGGAGGUUAACCUAUAGGCCAUUCUGAUGAUCCCAGCUCCCUUUCACUACAACCCCCGUCUGCAUCCUUUGCUUUGCAGUAGGAUUUGAGAGAGGAAGGAUGAAGAUGUAGCCACAGGAUACAUUUAAACAGGCACAGAGUUUGAGGGGUGGGGGGGAACAAAAGCAAAACAAUAAAACCUUCACCAGUCAUUAAAGAAAUGAAAAUGAACCUUUUGAGAUUGUCAAUUUUUAUCUGCUAAGUCAAGAAAAGCUAAUUUAAUUCCUGGCAAUUUCACAAUAAAAAAAAUUGUGCUAGCUCUUGGUGGCAUUGUAAGUAGUUAAAGGCUUUUUGGGAAGUAAUUUGAAAUACAUCAAGUCUUGAAAAUGAUUAUACCAGUGGAUCCAAUCAUCUCGCUGGUGGAAAUUCAUCUGAAGGAAAUGAUUCAGUGGAAAAAACAACCCGUCUACACUUGUUGCACCUAAAUGUCCAGGAAUAAGGGAAUGACAGAAGAAAUCUCAGCACAUUCUCUGAAUGGAACAGAAACCGAGCGUUUGGAACUAGAAUUGCGCAGACUGAAUUGAAUAUGGAAGUGGCUUUAAAUGGCAUGUUAGGUGGAAACACUGGAUGUCUGGUUGAAAUUUGGUAAGACACACAUUCCCAUGGUCAGAAUCGGAAAAUUUCAACAAAUGAAAAUCAUGGGGUUCACAAAGAGGUGUUGUGGGUUAUAGAAAGCUAUUUUCAAAAAUUUCUUUAAUGAUUCAAAAUUGUUUUUCAAAAAAAGUAGAAGAUUUAGAAACAUGUAUUUUAGGAAGUAUGGCCCAUGGUGUCUAUUGGAAAAAAAGUGGAAGACCUGAUGCAUUGCCCAAGGGGAACUUCUAGCUUAAGAUUACACUGAUGAGGACUGGGAAACACUCAGGCACUUUCAGGCACGCUGAGUAACAGGGGUGUCCUUUUACACAGAGACAAGGUGCUCUGUGGUCCACCCUUUACUUGGAUCCCCAGAUCAGCAUUCUCAUCAGGCAGAAGUAACCAGAGGAGGAAACAGCAUUUCUUCAAAGCUGAAGAGAGCUUUUUGGAGGGGAAAAUAAAAAAUCCUAGGAACUCCUUGCAUGACUGAUGGUUUGAACAAUGGCUUUGCACCCCAAGACCAGCCUGGCCUCGUGGUUGUAAAUCUGGGGGCCGUUGACAAACGGUUUCCCACCUUGGGACUUGAGUCUGCAGUUCAAGAGUCACGUGGGCCUGCCUGAGCCGCAGGGCUUGGCCCCUGUGCUGAGCACAGGCUUCUAGAAGAAGGCUUACGGGAAAGGAAAUGCUCGGGUUUCACAUGAAGGAGGGUGUGUGUGGAGGGGGCAGGGCGGGAGCAGGAGGGAAAGAAUGGUCCCUUUCAACGCAGACAGAUGCAGUCUGGCUCAGAGUCAGCCCGGUCUCAAAAAAAACCCAAGUGGUCCAGUAACAUUUAAAAAUCU